CACAGUUCUGUAUCUGGUGUGUGCUGCUUUGGCUUUAAGUCUGGUUCUUGUAGCCUUCCUUCUUUAUGCCAUCAGGAAAAAAUCCUGUGAUUGUUGUAACGCUGCUGUGACUCUGCAAACAAAUGCUGCAGCAGCCAGUGGUGAUCAGCAAAGUCAGCAGAGAAAUGAGGAUUCUUUGGUUUAUUCUGCACCAGACUUUACCAGGAGGAAAGCCGGCAAAUCAGGGAGAAGAAGUGCAAGAAAGGAGGAGACGAUCUACGCUGAAGUCAGGGCUUUUGUGAUGGAUCCAUAAUCU